GGACUACUGGGGUUUCUAAUCCUGUUUGCUCCCCACGCUUUCGCACAUGAGCGUCAAUGCCGGACCAGGCAGUCGCCUUCGCCACUGGUGUUCUUCCAAAUAUCUACGAAUUUCACCUCUACACUUGGAAUUCCACUGCCCUCUUCCGGAUUCAAGUCUGCCAGUCUUAAAAGCAAUUCCCGGGUUAAGCCCAGGGCUUUCACUUCUAAUUUAACAGACCGCCUGCGUGCGCUUUACGCCCAGUAAUUCCGAACAACGCUAGCCCCCUUCGUAUUACCGCGGCUGCUGGCAC
rnacentral:rRNA from 1 species